rnacentral:rRNA from 11 species
GAUUGUAACCACCAUUACCAAUAGUACUACACUAAAAGUACAGUUUCCUGACCUAUCUUGGAAGCUAAGCUGGGUCAAUUCAUAUUAGUACCUGGAUGGGAGACCAUCAAUGAAUUCCAGAUGUUGCAGACU